AAUCCCCGCAUCAGUAUGGCGGGCACCAGACAGGGUCUGGGAGGUCACGUCCUACAGGCAAGGCUGUUUCAAGGGCUGCUACCUUAAUCAGUUAUUCUGGCAUGAACGUGAUUGACUGGGCCGCGCCUUCCUGCACCACCUGAGAAAUCGGCUGGGCUUCACCUCCUGUCCUUGCCAGCUCAGAUGUGACACACAGUGACCUUCCUCAGGAGAGUGGAAGCUCUGCAGGGUGAGAAUGAAACAUGGGUGGUCAGUGGGGAUAAUAGGACCUACCUAGCUGGGCUGUUAUGAAGGCUAAACGAGGAAACACUUGUAAAGUUCUCAGAACUGUGCCUCGAACAAGGUUUGGUUUCAACUAUCCAUUUAGUCCAGUCUUUGAGGUUUGUACCUGAGUUAAUCUGCCACUUAUGAUUUGGACACACACAACUGGGAUGAACUCUAAGUCUAGUAUCUGGAGAGCAAACCCUAAAGAUCCCUGCAAUAUUGACAAAGAAACCUUCUAGAAACAGAGCCAGAAAAGGAAUUUCUUCUGAACACACCGGAGUAUGUGUGUUGUGGCUUCCCUGUGAGCACAGCCCACACUGAUUUUUGGAAACUGCAGAUUUUGGGAAGAGGUAGGGAGAAGAAAGGAGUGGGAAUUAUCAAGCCACAUCAAAGAAGAAGAGAAGAAAAUGGCAGUGGAGAGGCCAGGGGUGCCUGUCUGCUACCAGAGCUUAAUUAGGCAAGUCCAUGUCCUACAUUUGUCUGAGAUGGACAGGACGAGAAGGGCAGCUCCCAGGUUUUGCAGUGAGGGCUGACUCAGAAGCUAGCCUCCUGCAAUGCUCCUUCAUGAGGGCAGAGCAGCCUGCUGUCCCACACUGUUUACUUCUGGCCUUCAGAAAAUUCCUUUCUGGAGUCACAGCCCAGUGCAUUACCACCAGGUUUAUUGAAGUCCAGACCUCCAACAUCUGCCUCAAAAACACCCGGGGGAUUGAAACGUAAAAUGUCAAACCAACAAAUAUGUUCGUUCAUAACUUUGUGUAAAGAUAGCGACAAUACCUGUAACAUAUUCUUCCCUGCCUUGAAGCUUUGCAGAUUUGAUAUAGAAAUCCAGGAGAAAAUUCUAUGAGAAGAGCUCUUACCAUAUAAUGAAGACAAGACUUGAGCAAGACUUUGUAAUUUUCUACUAAUCAAAAUUCAAAGUAUGAGUCUUGACAGAAGCCAAACAAAGCCUCCUGCCUGGAACUCUGGAACUCUUCUCUUUUUGUUCUGAAGCCUUGGACCCAUCUUGCCUUUUGCUAUGAGUAAAGUUUACCGCAGAGGCUUGGUAUCUUAGUUUAGAGUUCACAUUUCUGGUUUUCGAUGGCUGUAGAUCAAUCCUAGUGGAAAACUCCACAAAGUGCAGAGAAAGUUGUCCUUGUGAAGUCACCUUGCAGAGGAGGAAAGCGGUCUCUAAAUAAGAAAUCUAUAUUCCAGUCUGACAGCUCGUACGGCGUGGGGUAUGAAUUUCUCCUCUGAAAGUCUGAUGGCCAUCCUUGUUCUUCCUCAGCAGGGCUGCCUGAGUAUCUUUGAGAAAUGCCCAAGGGUCCUCUUGAGGAAGGGGAUCGUCCAUUGGCACCUGGAGCCUUCCAUGGAAACUGGUUGGCUGGCUCUCCAUUUUACGCUAGAGUCAUCUCAGACAUCAGUUAGCUACCAAGGCAAGUCGUUAACAUGCAUGACAAUGAAUCCAGUCUUGGCAAUCAUCGUAAUUAAGUGUGCACACUGUAUCAGGGUGCUGAUUAAGUGGCUUCAAUUUUAUGGGUAUGAUUCCUAAUGAUCGUUCUUUUUACUGAUUAAGAUGCAUUAAGCCUCAGAGGACAUUGGGGAUUCCUAUGCACUUGGAAGGAGGAGACUGAAGCCACACAGUGUCUGGAAAGGAAAACCCUUGAUUAAUCACCAGAGAAGAGGAAAGGAAUUUUCUAAGGUGUUUUCUAAGCUGAGUUCAUCCCAAAGAUGUCAGAGUGCUAGAAAAGAGAUGACUCCAAACAAGUCCAACCUGACUAUGGCAUUUGAGAGUUGAAUGUGGCAUUGGAGCUUGUUUUGUUUUUGUUUUCCUGAAAAAAUUAACCAAGGGAAAUUUCAAAUUUUUCAGCCUGUCUAAAUACGGACAAAUGUCCCAAGAAGCUAAAAGCACCAGUAUAUGCCACCCUUGGUUCCUGUCCUCAUCCCUAUCCCUGCACAGUGUAGCUUUCACGAUUACCAACCAACACCCAUCAUCUCCUCUAACCAUCACCCAUGGGCAUCCUGCAAGACACAUACAAGAAAAUGACACCGCAUUUCACUUACCUGAAAUCAAUAUAGUACGACUGGAAAAAGAAAUAAAGGUUUAUCCCUUUGUCCUUCUCAUGUUUAAAAUACCCAUGGACUCAUACAUGACCCAGAAAAGGGAGCUCACAGCCAAAUUACAGAGAGGAGCAGAAGUUUGUCUUGGGUUUUGAGUUUUCUGAUGAGUUAAUGGAGGUGUGUGGGAUGUAGGGUAUUUUUAACACUUGAGAAGCCCCCAGCUUUGCUUCAUUCUCUGUCUCUCUCUCUCUGUCAUAAUCACCUCUCUUGCUAAAAGAGAAGCUCACCAUCCCAUAAGACACCAUGCCAGAAGCAGGGAUGUCCUCACCCAUCACCACCUCCUCUCUAAUCUCACUGCCCCACUUCCCCUCCAUAACCUGCUCCUCCUCCCCUCCUCUCCCGUCCCCUCCGCUCCGCUCCCUUCCCUUCCCCUUCCCUCUCCUCCCAUCCUCUUCCUCACUGUCUUUCUAGCAUAUCCACUUCUCUAUCCCCAUUGAUGUGACUUUAGCAGGAUCCUCAUUCACAACUUCAGCUAUUGCAUUUUCUCCCAACUGGGCUCCUGCUUCUUUUCUUAUGGGAUCAUAAUCCCUCCUUCAUUCAGCAACCAAGAUGAAUUUUAUGUUGUACAAAUAUGGUUAUAUUCACUCCUUGUUUAAAGUAAAUGCCUCUUAAUUUCCUGGGUAUAAAGCAAAAAUACAUUAGCUUAGCUUAGAAGUCUUCCAUGGUCAGCAUCUCUCUGCCCCCAGCACUCUCUGACUUCCAGCCAUAGAGACAUUCCUGCAAUGUCCCCAUAUACUAUACCUUCUUGUGUCCCCAUGCAUUGGACACAGAUAGGGCUCCCCAUUGCUCUUAGAAUAAAUGUUCAUGUACCUCUACUUUGUGGCACUUAAACUACAGCUGUGCGUUUUUACACUUACCUGUGCAUGUGUUUUGCUUCCUUGACUUUCUGUAGACUCAAGAGGGCCGCAGUCUUGUAUUGGUGGUGUUUGUUGGUUUGAGUCGUUCCUUACUAUGUUAUCCCCAAAAUUAGCACAACAUCUGGCCUAUAGUGGAAGCUCAGUAAGUAAAUGUUUAAGGAAUUAAUAAAUUUUAGCAUCUCUUGAGACUUUUAUUGAGCUUGUAAUGCAUAGUUAUAGCAUAAAUGGUUGACGAAUGAAAUGGCCAAGCCAUCUGGCUAGAUGCCAAGGUAUAGUGGCUUUGGAAUCUGGACCCUGUCUACUCCAUCUUCUUGUAUUCAAUAUUCAUUCUGAUUUUGUGGUAAUGUAGAAACUUCUUCUUGUUCCUUGUUCCACGGAACACCCUACCCCAGGGGAAACUGAGGAAAGGGGGAGAGGAGAUGGCCCCCACACUCCUGCUGCUUCCUCUGCAAUUUUCCUUUUCCCUUCUCAACCCAGCUUUAGCCAGACGUCUGACCUCUGUACCUCAGUGGAUCCAACCACCUACCUGAUUAGAUGAGAUGAGGUGGGACAAGGACACGGAAGCCCAAAUCAGAAGAGAAAUUUCAAGAGCUUUAGAAAUGAGGACUUCAACUGUGCAGACUUGGGACUUUUCUGGCUUGAGAGGUGGUAUGCUCAGCCAUCAUUCACUCUCAAGGCACUGCAGAUGGUUGGCCCAGCAGAGGCAGACAUUACAGCUUCAGGGCUAAGUCCUUAACUCAUAUUUGCCUCUUGUACUUUGUAUUUAGCUUACGUGGAAAAUGGAUUUUGGAAUCAUUUGUUUCCUUCCUUGAAUUUGCAGGCUAAACUAAAAAACUGCAGGUCAUAUUUUGACUGGCUGGGGGAUGGGCUGGUGAGGAUGAGUGGAGGAAAUUUCAGCAGGCAAUUUGGCAGGUGAGCUGUGGCUUCUGGGGAACAUUUGUGCAAGUCUGAGCUUUGUGACAAUCCCUCAUUGCCUUUCGCCCUAAGUUUCUUUAAAUUUAUUUCUGUUGCUCCUUAGAUACACUUUAGAUAUAAAUAAUGUUUGUUCCUUCUCUCUAUAGUUCAAUAUAUCAUGAAUUCUUCCCUGGCUGACUCACCACUCUGAGGUUGACUUCUUAUCUAGUUAUCACAGAUCCACCACCUGCUCCUUUUUCCUACUUAAUUCUUUCCAUCAUUUUUCCUGCAGCUUGUAUCUUGACAUCUGUCUGGCUCAUGCUAGAAACUUCAGUCAUCCUUGGUCUGUGAUUCGUUCCACGUCCUGUCACUCACCCUCUUCCCCAACCAUUCCCAGGCUAUGUCCCUUUUUCUCCAUACUUUUGCUAGAGUCUCAUGAUCACUUACUCCCUUGACAGCAAAAGAUCCUAACUUGACCCUGAGAGUUCUGCAAGCCAGAAAUACCGUCUGUCUCACCUCUGAUAUAUCUCUGGUUUUCAUCCCACUGCUUGGAACAGAGUGACUGCUCCAGGUGUAUAAUUUGACUGAGUUAUAAGUCUUCCUUUUUCUGGGUUCAUACCCUCACUGCUCUGUUCCACAUCGUUAAUGACUCCCCAUCACCUAUAGACUAAAGCCCACACUACCAAACAUGGAUAUACAAGACUUUCAUUCAUUUGGCCAUGGAUUAACUUUACAUUGUAAUAUUAAUUUUCAUCUUCUAUCACUCUUAUACAUAAAUUCUCCAUUCCAAAUACUGAUAAUUUCUUGUUCUUCCCUAAACCGAAGGAGAGAACUGUUACCAGAAAGGAGUCUUGAUCUAGACCCCAAGAGAGGUUUCUUGGAUCUCGCACAAGAAAGAAUUCAAGGUGAAUCCAUAGAGUAAAGUGAAAGCAGGUUUAUUAAGAAAGUAAAGGAAUAAAGAAUGGCUACUUCAUAGGCAGAGCAGCCCCAAGGGCUGCCAGUUGCCCAUUUUUAUGGUUAUUUCUUGAUUAUAUGCUAAACAAGGGGUGGACUAUUGAUGAGCUUUCUGGGAAAGGGGGUGAGCAAUUCCAGGAACUGAGGAUUCCUCCUCUUUUUAGACCAUACAGGGUAACUUCUUUAUGUUGCCAUGGCAUCUGUAAAUUGUAACUGGUGGGAGUGUUUCUUAGCAUGCUAAUGCAUUAUGAUUAAUAUAUAAUGAAUAGUGAGAUCGACCAAAGGUCACCUUUUUCACCAUCUUGGUUUUGGUGGGUUUUAGCCGGGCUUGUUUACUGCAACCUGUUUUAUCAGCAAGCGCUUUGUGACCUGUAUCUUGUGCCAACUUCCUAUCUCAUCCUGUGACUCAGAAUGCCUUAACCUCCUAAGAAUACAGCCCAGUAGGUCUCAGCCUUAUUUUACCUAGCCCCUAUUCAAGAUGGAGUUUCUCUGGUUCAAAUGCCUCUGACAGAACCACUAUUUUUAAUUCUCUUUUAUUUCCUUUUCUUCUUGCUAUUUCCUUUGCCUCUUUUCUGCUUCCAAGUCAGUUACUCCUUCCUCUGUUGAAAUUCUACUUAUUCUUUAAGACACAGUUCAGGUGUCACUUUCUCAAGCAAGUUUUCCAUGACCCAUUUCCCCCGCCAGGCAUUCUCAAGCAUUAUGCUGACUGAAAUCCACAAUUCUACGUGGACCUCCCUUUUAGAAGCUAACAGAACAUGUCAUUAUUAUUUCAUUAUAUAUUACUAUUUGUCUUGUCAAAAAGAUUGUGAUUAAAGUUUGUU
rnacentral:lncRNA from 1 species